AGAGUUUGAUCCUGGACUCAGAAUCAACGCUGGCGGCGUGCCUAACACAUGCAAGUCGAACGAGAAAAGUGGAGCAAUCCGAUGAGUAAAGUGGCGUACGGGUGAGUAACACGUGACUAACCUACCCUUGAGUGGGAGAUAACUUCGGGAAACCGAGGCUAAUACCGCAUAAUACCGAGAGGUCAAAGGAGCAAUUCGCUUUAGGAGGGGGUCGCGGCUGAUUAGCUAGUUGGUAGGGUAAUGGCCUACCAAGGCAAUGAUCAGUAUCCGGCCUGAGAGGGCGCACGGACACACUGGAACUGAAACACGGUCCAGACUCCUACGGGAGGCAGCAGUGGGGAAUUUUGCACAAUGGGGGAAACCCUGAUGCAGCAACGCCGCGUGGAGGAUGAAGUCCCUUGGGAUGUAAACUCCUUUCGACCGGGACGAUAAUGGCGGUACCGGUGGAAGAAGCCCCGGCUAACUCUGUGCCAGCAGCCGCGGUAAUACAGAGGGGGCAAGCGUUGUUCGGAAUUAUUGGGCGUAAAGGGUGCGUAGGCGGUGCGGUAGUCUUCUGUGAAAUCUCCGGGCUCAACUCGGAGUCUGCAGGAGAAACUGCCGUGCUUGAGUAUGGGAGAGGUGAGUGGAAUUCCUG
rnacentral:rRNA from 1 species